rnacentral:tRNA from 1 species
UUUAAUAUAAGCUAAAUUUAAGCUAGUGAGUUCAUACCUCAUCUAUAUAGAUUAUCCUAUUUUUAAAA